rnacentral:misc_RNA from 1 species
UUUGCGGAAGAGGUGCUAUGGCUGUGAAAUUUUUGUUCGACCAUUAUUAUUCAUCACAUACAGCAAAGUUCUUUUUCUUACGGCGAACAAAAUUCAGUCUUUCAAUUGUAAUUACCGAACGUGGAUACAAGUAUCAAAUAAUUCUAUCGAAUGUAUUGCGUAUAUAUAAGUAUUAAAGAUUUCACUAUAUCGUUUCUUUAUAUUUAAAACAUCCGUGUACCCCUAAUAACAUGCGAUGCCUAAAGUUUUUAAUUUUCCGCUUGGCACAGUUGGUGUGAUUUGAGUUUGCAAUGCUUUGUCCAAAUUGCAACAAUGGAUUGUCCUGCAAAAUUUUAUUUUUACACAAUCCACCAAAAAAGUACACAAAUGUUGAAUUUGUUUUUCGCACAAAAAGAGCGUGCACACAUAAACGCACAAGUGUAAUGGUUGCACCGUUUGUCUCUAUACAUACUUAUACAUGCGAGGAAGAGAGAAAUAAAGAGCAACCAAAAAUGAUAAUAAAAGAAGGAAAGAAAAUAUAUAUUCAAGCGAUAAAACCGCGAACGCGACUUUUAAAAAAAAACAAGGCUGAACCAACAGGGGGGCCAAAGAUAUCAACACGACGCAAGCGGAAGGCUGGCAGAGCCUCCGAAAAUCCUGCAGAGAUGUCACAUACGUGCCGAGGCACGAUAUCCUUACACGGGGCCUUAAUACACACCGUGGAUGCUUGUACGUUCGUUGUUAGCAACGGUGGUACGCAAACCUUCCAUAUCAAAGCGGCGACCGAGGUAGAACGUCAACAAUGGGUCACGGCCCUCGAAUUGGCGAAGGCCAAGGCCAUUCAGGCUAUGGAAUCUGAAGAAGAAGAGGAAGAAUUCCAGGAUAAUGACAAUCAAAAGCCGGAACAAGUAUCCGUGAUAAAGGACCUUUCGCAGCGCUUAGAAAACUUACAGGCCUGUAACGAUUUAAUAAACAAAAAAGGAUCCAUGCUUCAGCGAGCUUUGAACGAGCUCGAAGCACUGGAACCCCCAUCGCCUGAAUUAGCGGCGAAAAUAAAGACAGUCAGCGAAAGAGCAACACUGUUUCGCAUCGCUGCCGGUGCUAUGGUUAAUGCGAGCAACGAGUAUUUACAUUUAGCGCAACAACAGGAACCAAAAUGGAAGAAAAUGUUGCAACACGAACGCGAUCAGAAGGUACGGAUUGAAAAGAUGGUCGAACAACUUGCCAGACAACAUUCUCACCUAGAAGAGGCCGCACAACAUGCUCUUCCCUCGGCAGUUCCAGCAGGGGGACACAGACCUUCGCAUACAACAGUUACAACUUCUUCCCCAUCAGAAGACGAGGAAGAUAAUGCAGAGUUUUAUGAUGCGCAAGAAUCAGAUACUUUUACAUUGAGUAUACCUGGUGUUGCUGCAAGCAAUUCGAGAGAUAGAACCGAUUCUCAGGGUAGUGACGAUGGCUCUAGUUCCGAAGGAGAUCAGACACCAUUACCUCUGUCAGACACUGCUGGUGCAAACUCCUUUUUUAUCGUGACCGAUUCUACAGUAGUACAAACUCCUUCCACUGUUGAAAAUACCGACAAUCUGGACAAUACAAAUUGGCAAGCCAACAAUGGCAGCAGUGGCUGCACCGGGGUGACUGGCCCUAAAAGGAAGCGGAGAACUAGGGUACCUGAUAAACCGAAUUAUCCACUGAAUUUAUGGAGUAUUAUGAAAAAUUGUAUUGGCAAAGAUUUAUCAAAAAUUCCAAUGCCUGUCAAUUUUUCUGAGCCACUCAGUAUGCUUCAACGGCUUACAGAAGAUUAUGAAUAUGCAGAUAUUCUUGACAGAGCAGCAGAGUGUACAGAUAGCUAUGAACAAAUGGCUUAUGUGGCUGCAUUUACUAUAUCUAGCUAUUCUACAACUGCUUCCAGAACUGGCAAACCUUUCAAUCCUUUAUUAGGUGAAACGUACGAAUGUGAUCGCGUUGACGAUUUAGGGUGGCGAGCAAUUUCAGAACAAGUAUCGCAUCAUCCCCCGAUGUUAGCACAACAUUGCGAGGGACGAAAGUGGCGUUGUUGGCAAGAAUUUACAAUGGCAUCUAAAUUUCGCGGGAAAUACCUUCAAGUAAUACCAUUAGGAACGGCUCAUCUAGAAAUAGAGGGUGGAUUGCAGCAUUAUACGUGGCGAAAAGUUACAACCACUGUACACAAUAUUAUAGUAGGAAAAUUAUGGGUUGAUCAAAGUGGUGAUACGGACAUUAUAAAUCAUAAGCAAGGUAUAAAGUGCCAUUUGAAGUAUAUACCGUAUUCGUACUUCUCACGAGAUAGUCAGCGUAAGGUAAAAGGCGUAGUCAUGAAUUCAGACAAUGAAGUAAAAUGGGUAAUACAAGGUACAUGGGACACCAAAAUUGAAAUUGCUCCUGUUAUUAGUACGUCCGGUACACCGGAUAAUCCAGUUUAUAAAACAGGGCCUUACAUACUCGCUUGGAAGCGUCGUAUGCCACCCGAAGAUAGUGAUAAGUAUUACAAUUUUACGGAAUUAGCAUGUCAACUUAAUGAACCUGAAGAAGGUAUAGCUCCUACGGAUUCCCGAAAUAGGCCUGAUCAAAGAUUGAUGGAGAAUGGUCAUUGGGACGAAGCAAAUGCAGAAAAGUUAAGAUUAGAGGAAAAACAAAGAGCUGCUCGACGUGCUCGUGAACAUGAAGCUGAGAAAGCAGCUUCGGAAGGUCUACCAUUCGAAACUUACGAACCGUUAUGGUUUAAGAAAGAACAAGACCCAUACACGGACAGUCUGUGCUAUGUAUAUGGUGGUGAAUAUUGGGAGUGUAAGAGUAAAGGUGAUUGGUCACGAUGUCCAAACAUAUUUUAACUUAUUAUAUAAUUAUAUCAAUUAAUAUUGUGACCGUCGAUAUACAGUGUAAGAAAUGUUUGAAUUUGUUUAAAGUGAGGAUAGUUGAUUUUAAAACUCACUUGGAGGAGAUGAUUAUUUCUGAGACACGUUGACGUGAUAUGGUGUGGUUGUUAAGAGACAUGGUUUAGUAAUUAUUUCUUCCAUUGAACUGAUCGAAGUUGGCAUUCUGAUACAUAAAACAAGCGUUUUUGUAGCAUACCGUUACCUCCGUGAUUCUAGUUUUUUUGUCUAUAUUACCACUGCAUCCUCCAUUUAUCCACUUUUCUAAGUAAUCUGAAUUGUACUGUACUUGAUUCACAUGGCCCAAUGAACGCUUUGUAUACAAGUUUUGUAUAGAUUAACAAAUUUUCUGUAUUUGCUAUUAAGUUCUGCUACUAGGCUGAACAUACGCUACAUUCACAACAAAAUCCAGAAAUGGAACUGAUCAUAAGUUCCAACGAGACCGAUCGUAACCGAUCGUAACACCAACUUCGGAAAAUUGCCAUAACAUGGUUAUCACGUAUCCAUCGCGAAAAGUACUUACAUAGACUAUAAAACGUAUUUUCGAUACUUGACGCGAUGCUGAGGAUAUUUAAACGAAUUAAAAUGCUAGAAAAAAUUUUAUUAGCAUUGCUGAGUAAAUCAGAAGUAAGAAAUAAUCGCGUUGAAUGUGUCUAAAGCCUUAUUGAAUUAUUUAAAGUAGGUAUCGUUAGGCAACACGUUUUUACAUAUUGGUUAUUUACACGUGUGGUGCGGUCAGACUGUUUACCCGACUGCCACGUCUUAACCUUUGCACGAAAAUUGGAUAAGAGGCGGCAUUCGUUACAUUGAUACAACAAUCUGUAACCGCUUUUGAAGAAAUGUUCCUGCGGAUAAAGUGUUCGUAACAACGAGAAUUCAGUAUGUUGAGAUUAAAAUAUCAAUAAUCCAUACAGAAGUUAUAUAUAACGUGCAACUCUAAGAAAGAAGAUCCAGAUAGUAAAAUGGGUACGCUUCCAAAUUUCUGCAAUUUUCCGUGCAGAUGUAGACUCUGAAUGUUCCAUAAAUAUAGACUGGUUACUUAACCAGCCUGAUUACUAUACUCCGUCGAGCUAAUGUUACAAAACAUAAUCAUAUGAAUACAUAAAUAAUGUAAAGAGAAUUUAAGGUCAUAUUGGAGAGCUCAUAAGUUUUUUUUUUUUUUUUUUUUAAAUUGUUAAAUUCGGAAGAUUAACAAUAAUUAACAGAAAUCUGUUUUCAAACUAUGGCAUGUAGACACGCACACAUCCAUACACAGACACAAGCGCUUGAUUGAGCGCAAACAAUUCGGAUGCGUACGUAUGUACGUAUGUAUGUAUGCCCAUAUGUACAUAUGAUAUAUAAUUAAUAAAACCCAUUGUAUAUCCCUCUUAUGAGCACAUCAUACGGUUGUUCUGUUCAUAGUGUUUGUAUAUUGACAACUAUAUAUUCCGGUCUGUAUAAGACUACAAUGAAUGGAACACUUAGCUUGCAACCAGUGUUUACAAUGAUUGUUAUAAUUAAGUAUUUGGCUGUAUUAUAAUUUUAAUAGUUGAUAAUAAUCGGAUAUUAACUGUAUACAUAUAAAUACAAAUUAACUAUAAAAAUAAAUAAUUUAAAGAAAAUACAGUAAGACGGAUAGAACAGAUGUUUGGAUUAUAUAGUGCUUGUACAUUAGCUAUUCAUGUGGAACGAAAAAUACAAAUGCUUCGCUACAGAACCGAAAAUAUCUUUGUAGCAUUCACAUGAUUGCCUUUUUUGGCAUCUCCUGUCGUAACACCCGUUGAUCGCACAAAUGGUGCAAUUAUUUAUACGAUGAAUAACCGUAGUCUUUUGUUCCACCAAACAAAUUGUAUUGAUUUAUUGUAACAAAUUAAAGACGAUCUUGGACGGGUAACAUUUGUAAUG